rnacentral:rRNA from 1 species
UACGGGGGGGGCAAGCGUUGUUCGGAAUUACUGGGCGUAAAGGGCUCGUAGGUGGCCAACUAAGUCGGACGUGAAAUCCCUCGGCUUAACCGGGGAACUGCGUCCGAUACUGGAUGGCUUGAGUGUGGGAGAGGGAUGCGGAAUUCCAGGUGUAGCGGUGAAAUGCGUAGAUAUCGGGAGGAACACCUGUGGCGAAAGCGGCUCACCGGACCACAACUGACGCUGAUGCGCGAAAGCUAGGGGAGCAAACAGG